GAAAUGCGAUAAGUAAUGUGAAUUGCAGAAUUCAGUGAAUCAUCGAAUCUUUGAACGCACCUUGCGCUCCUUGGUAUUCCUUGGAGCAUGCCUGUUUGAGUAUCAUGAAAUCUUCAAAGUAAAUCUUUUGUUAACUCAGUUGGUUUCUACUUUGGUAUUGGAGGUCUUUGCAGCUUCACACCUGCUCCUCUUUGUUCAUUAGCUGGAUCUCAGGGUUAUGCUUGGUUCCACUCGGCGUGAUAAGUUAUCUAUCGCUGAGGACACUGUAAAAGGUGGCCAAGGUAAAUGCAGAUGAACCGCUUCUAAUAGUCCAUUGACUUGGACAAUACUUUUAUGAUCUGAUCUCAAAUCAGGUAGGACUACCCGCUGAACUUAAGC
rnacentral:misc_RNA from 1 species